rnacentral:lncRNA from 1 species
UGAGGGCUGGGCAGCUAUUAUGAUUGGCUUUGGCAUAGAAACAUUUAACACAAGGGCGAGAAUGCAGUGUCGCCAGGCUCUAGGGCUGCAAAUUUCAGAGCUCACCUGGGAGUUCUCACUCCUUCCGGAUGGGUUGGCAGUAUGUUGAAGGAUGUUUAUAUAUCUGCCUGUACAUAAGUUGGUUUAUUUGACACAGAAAGCUGUCAAACUAGCUGAGGAUUUAUUUAAUUUUUAAACUGGAUGGAAUUUAGCUAAAGCCAGUAAGGAAAACACCAGAUCUCAUGAAUGGCCAGAAGGUUUGCUGAAAUCUUUUGUGCAUCUGUUCCUCUGUUUUUGACAUGUACCUGGUUCAGUUGUCCAAUUGUAGGAAAACUAUAGGAUCAUCCUCAAAGAAGGUGUAACUCUGAAGAUGUGCUUUGCCUCCUCCUUCAUCUUGGCUGAACGGACACAGUGUAAGGACGCUGCCUGGAUGAUUGCUCCUCAACCAGAGAUGUCAGCCAGCUGAAACGUACCAGGAGAAAACAAAGGACAUUCCAGACUUGGGGAAAAAAAUCGAGCAAGAGAAAUUUACAUGUGUUUGACAUUUAUAUUCUUUUGAGUAGCUUUUGUCUCUU